GAUCAGCUCAUGCCNUUAUUCUAGGCGUCAUCGGCGUCUCGAAUUGUAGCCUAUGGUCCGGUCAUCCGNCUACAGAAGCCUCGCGGGUACAAGUCCCGUUGAAUCGUGGCAUCACAGAGGGUGCAAGUCCCGUCUCUGAUCCCGCGAGCGCUUCCGGUGUGUUGGCCGAGUCUUUGAGUCAGGUUGUUUGNGAAUGCAGCCUAAAACGGGUGGUAAAUUCCAUCCAAAGCUAAAUAUUGGCAAGAGACCGAUAGCGAACAAGUACCGUGAGGGAAAGAUGAAAAGCACUUUGAAAAGAGAGUGAAACAGCGCGUGAAAUUGUUGAAAGGGAAACGCUUAAAGUCAAGCUUCUAGCAGUUUGGUGGCGCAAGCCAGCGGCUGCUAGUGGUCAACAGCAGUUUGCCGGGGAGUAGAAGGAUGCGGGGAAGGUGGCUGGCCAGCUUGCUGGGCAGUGUUAUAGCCCCGCAAUCGCAUACCUCCUGGUGGACUGAGGAACGCGGCCCGCAGCAAUGAAGACGACGCGUCGCGACUGUGCCUGGCGGCGGUCAGACUAUCUGAUAGACUGGCUGUGCGCAGAGUGUGUGCAGGCGAUGGCGCGCGUACUAACCGGGCCUAGGUUGUUGGCGAAAAGGCUUUAAACGACC
rnacentral:rRNA from 1 species